UACGUAGGUGUCGAGCGUUGUCCGGAUUUAUUGGGCGUAAAGAGCCCGCAGGCGGCUUGUCUAGUCCGAGGUGAAAUCUCCCGGCUCAACUGGGAGGGUGCCUCGGAAACUGGCAGGCUUGAGGCAGGGAGAGGGAUGUGGAAUUCCAGGUGUAGUGGUGAAAUGCGCAGAUAUCAGGAGGAACACCGGUGGCGAAGGCGGGUCUCUGGGCCGGUACCGACGCUGAGGAGCGAAAGCGUGGGGAGCGAACAGG
rnacentral:rRNA from 1 species